rnacentral:rRNA from 1 species
UACGUAGGGUGCGAGCGUUGUCCGGAAUUACUGGGCGUAAAGAGCUCGUAGGUGGUUUGUCGCGUUGUUCGUGAAAACCGGGGGCUUAACCCUCGGCGUGCGGGCGAUACGGGCAGACUUGAGUACUGCAGGGGAGACUGGAAUUCCUGGUGUAGCGGUGGAAUGCGCAGAUAUCAGGAGGAACACCGGUGGCGAAGGCGGGUCUCUGGGCUGACACUGACGCUCAUGCACGAAGGCGUGGGGAGCAAACAGG